rnacentral:rRNA from 1 species
AGCUUUCGCGGUAUGGGAUGGGGUCGCGUCCUAUCAGCUUGACGGCGGGGUAACGGCCCACCGUGGCUUCGACGGGUAGCCGGCCUGAGAGGGCGACCGGCCACAUUGGGACUGAGAUACGGCCCAGACUCCUACGGGAGGCAGCAGUGGGGAAUAUUGCACAAUGGGCGCAAGCCUGAUGCAGCGACGCCGCGUGAGGGAUGGAGGCCUUCGGGUUGUAAACCUCUUUUAUCGGGGAGCAAGCGAGAGUGAGUUUACCCGUUGAAUAAGCACCGGCUAACUACGUGCCAGCAGCCGCGGUAAUACGUAGGGUGCAAGCGUUAUCCGGAAUUAUUGGGCGUAAAGGGCUCGUAGGCGGUUCGUCGCGUCCGGUGUGAAAGUCCAUCGCUUAACGGUGGAUCCGCGCCGGGUACGGGCGGGCUUGAGUGCGGUAGGGGAGACUGGAAUUCCCGGUGUAACGGUG